GUUGUGCUGUCAGCUGAAGCAGCGGAGGAUCUCUUAUCACAGCAGGAGGGGGGAGGAGCAGCAGGUGGAGGCGUCAGGAGCCCUGACAAUGUCUGUCUUUCCCUGCACUUGAAGUAAUAGAAGCUCAGUUAAAAUGGCCACUGGACUGGGUCCUGACUGCAGGAACAUCAGCGGUGUGGUGGACAACCGGGUAGCAGUGCAGCCAUGCUGCAGAUAUCAUCCAUCUCCCUGUCACCGGCCCAAGGGCUGCUGGGAAAUUGGCAGACAGCUCCCAGACUCUGACAACAGAGGCGGCAUCCUAAUUUUCUAACCAGCGUUUCCCAUCUUUCCAAAUGUUUCUAUUUCUCAUUCCUGGUACUCCACAUCACAUAAAGUUGGCCUUGAUCAUUAAAAUAGUAUUCAUUAACGUGAGUAACUGUUGGCAACUUGUGUUUCUGCUUGUUGUUUUGAUUUAGUAGUUUCAGUAAAGUAAGGAAAGCUAUCAAAAAUCUUUCCUGACAUGGAGAUGAAGUCAAGUGUUGCGUCACAUUUUCAAGUUGAAUAAACAUAAAUAAUACUUCUCUGUUUUAAAUGAACACUCAUUGGAGUCUAACAGAAUAUAUCAUAAUAGAGAAAUGGUAGAUAUAAAUUAGUAGGUAUGGUAUGUAUAUAAACAUUUUCAGUAGAAAUAGUAAUUUAAUUGUUUUUUACGACAUCUAUUGCAGGUCUGUCCAUCCUGGAAGAG